GGUUCGGGUGUUGGGGCCUGGUCCCGCUUGCAAAAGCUCCCACGGACCAGAGAAAAGAGGAGGAUGUCAGACGUAGAAACAAAUGGCGUGUCAAGUUUCGCAGGAAGAGAGGGAAGAGUGAAGCUCCGGGAGCCAGCCACGAUUAGUCGCGCCUUCUGUGACGUCCAAUGGCAGAGGUCAAAGGGAUUCCUGGGGCAACCUCGAGGGAAAGAAUUCUGGCUCCGAGGGCCGGUGUACAGUGCUUUAAAUAUGGCAGUGGUUAUGUGUGAAAUUAUCGUGUUUUUCUGUUUAACCUGUUUCUUGUCUCUUCAUCGCCUUUCUAUAUAAUGUAAGACCAGAGGCUUUAUGUAGUGAAUUCCCUGUAACCCCGGCUGCUUGGACAGAUAGGUAUUCAAGUAUUUGUUUCUUGAAGUAAUCCUCUGAAUUAACUUGCUCACAUGUAAAAAAUAAUAACGGGCUGGGAAACGCCAGUAAUAGCCGCCAAACGUUUGUUAGACAUUUACAGUGUGCCAGGGACUGCAUUUUACGUGUAUUAUCACAUUCCUCAGAACAGCCUAAUGAGGUAUAUAUUACUAGAAUGCCUAUUUUUCAGAUGAGGAAACUGAUGCAUAGAAAGGAUAAUUUACUCAAGAGCGAGGAAGUAGCAAGCAUAAAAUCCAAGUACAUUUUUUUCUGCAUGUAUUAAUAGGUACAAUGAAGUAACUUUUUAAAUUGCUGUAGGUAUCAAUCAUAGUCUUAAUUCCCAGUAAUUCACUUACUAAGAAAUAUUUUCUGCUUCUCUUUCAUCAUUCAUGGGAGAGAUACAUAUCCCUAAAUAUUUUGCACAUUUAAAACUUAAACUUGGGUAUGGUGGCUUAUGCCUGUAAUCACGGCGUUUUGGGAGGCUCAGGUGGGAGGAUUGCUUGAGUCCAGGAGUUCCAGGCCAGCCUGGGCCACAUAGUAAGACCCCGUAUCUACAAAAAAUAAAAAAAAAAUUAACCGGGCAUGGUAGUGUCUCUGUAGUACUAGCUACUCGGGAGGCUGAGGUGGUAGGAUCACUGGCGCCCAGCAAUUCCAGCCUGCAGUUAGGAUUACCACACUGCACUUCAGCCUGAGCGGCAGAAUGGGACCAUGUCUGAAAAAAUAAAUAAAAAAUAAAACUUGCAGGUGACUCUGAAGCAGAACUCUUGAGAUGGAAGGAUUGUCAUCUGAGGAAAAAAAAUCAAGAUUAAGAGAGGAGGAACUAGAAUGAGAUUCACAUACCGUCUCUCCUCCAAGGGAAGGAGAGAGUGGUGAUGCCUGCCCACUCCUUCCUGGGCAGAACAUUUGUAGCAUGGAACAUUGGAGAAUUUGCAGUCUGCUGACUUUCUGAUUUAGGAGGUUGAUGGGGAGGCCUUAUAAUUUGCAUUUCUAACAAGUUCUGAGGUGAUGCUUCAAGUAUGUCCAGGCAGAAGGGCUGCCUCACAGAGAAUUCUGCCAUACCACAUGGGAAUUGAAGUCACAGACAUCUCUAACCCUCAAGCCUGAAACCAAAAGACUGAAAACCAACACUACAGUGGACAAAGAACAUCUCUGAACUUGUGUGGGGACCAGUGACACAAGGACCUAAGGUCUCUCUCUUCUCAUCUUGGCACUUCAGAAGUCUCCCCAAUCUUGACAAAGCCCUGGAGAAAGGGCCGGGCCUCCCGUUGAUAAGAAUAUCACUGCAGAUAAAUGGAGGUUUCAAAUUGAAAGAAAGGAGGAGGGCCUCCUGUUGAUAAGAUUAUUGUCACUGCAGGUAAAUGGAGGCUUCAAAUAGAAAUACAUUUCAGUUACAGAAAAAAAAAUUAUCUUUGUUACACAUUUGAGUUUGCAGGCCUAAGGUUACUCCCGCUACACUAUCAUCUGUAACCAUAACGCACUCAACAUUUUAAGCUAACUAUAAGGAUUGUUGCUUCACUCAAAGAUCCUGAGGUUUUAUUCACUAACAUUUUUAUUUGGUGACUAUAGUUGACAAGAACAAAGCUGUGGGGAACCAACAAACACUGCAAUGCCUGGCAUUGUCACCUCACUAGAUUGUGAGUUCCUCUGGGACAGGGUCCGUACAUUUUCUUAGAAUCCCUCACUUAGCCAUUAGCCUGCACAGUGCUUGUACUUAGUAAGUGCUCAGUAAAUGUUUGUGGAAUGAAUGCAUGAUGAACAAAAUAUAUACUGAGGACUCUUGGUGUUGAUUCUUGUUGAUAAUGUAAUAGUUAAGAUAUGUUAUAAAUAUGUUAUAAAUAUUGUAUCAAAAUAUUGUAUCAAAAAUAUACUUGAACAGGCUGGGCGUGGUGGCUCACACUUGUAAUCCCAGCCCUUUAGGAGGCUGAGGUGGGUGGAUCACUUGAGGUCAGGAGUUCGAGACCAGACUGGCCAACAUGGUAAAACCCCAUCUCCACUAAAAAAAAACAAAAGUUAACUGGGCAUGGUUGUGGGUGACUGUAAUCCCAGCUACUCAGGAGGCUGAGGCAGGAGAAUCGCUUGAACCCGGGAGGUAGAGGUUGCAGUGAACCAAGAUCGCACCACUGCACUCUAGGGGACAGAGCAAGACGCCUCAAAAAAAAAAAUGUAUAUAUAUAGUAUAUACAUACACAUGAGCAUAAAGGAGCUUCAAUGUGAAGGUAAUAAUUUAAGCAACAUUUCACAUUUUGGACCUGUGUUGUUAGCUAUUUAGAACAGUUAAACUACUAGCUUGCUUUUAAAUCCAUUGUCUUAGUCAUUUCAAGUUGUUAUAACAAAAUACCAUACACUGAGUAGUUUAUAAACAACAGAAUGCAUUUCUCUCAAUUCUGGAGGCUGGGAAGUCCAAGAUCAAGGUGCUGGCAGAUUGUGUGUAGUGAAGAUCCAUUCAUCAGAGAUGGCACCUUCUCGUUGUGUCCUCACAUGGUGGAUGGGGCAACAGGCUCUCUUAGGCUUCUUUUAUAAGGGCAAUAAUUCAUGAAGUUUCCACACUUAUGAUAGAAUUACCUCCUAGAGGCCCCACUUCCAAAUACCAUCACCUUGAGGGUUAGGUUUCAACAUACAAAUUUUGGAGGUACACAUUCAGAUGAUGACAGCACUCAUAGGUUACCUUUCAUCUUUGGGUUCUCAGUGCCUGCUACAACAGCACAAGAACAGUAAGUGUGUGCUGAAUGAAUACAGAUGAAUGAACCUUUCCCCAUCCUCAGAUACUUCCCAACUGAGCUCCACUAUCACCAAACUUCUAGAGCACAUUAUUUUUUGCCUUAUGAUCUCGUUAGGUGGGUUUUUCUUGCACAUACCACACUAAUCCAGUGGUCCUCAAAAUUGUGUGCCCAUUAGAAUCCUCUGGAGGGGUUGUAAAAAUAGUUUGCUGGGUCCUAACCCCAGAGUUUCUGAUUUAGGAGGUUUGGGAUGGGGACACCAAAAUUUGCAUUUCUAACAAGUCCAGAGGUGAUGUUGAUACUGCUGGCUACCAACUCUACCUUAUAAACCAUUGCCCAUUAAACUCUUGAGGGUAGAGACUGUCUUCCUCAUUUCAGUAUCUGCUGAAGCCUCUGGCAUAGUACCUGGCACAUAGUAAGCUGUUGCUUUAAAAAAAAUAAAAAAUGUAACCUUUCUUUGCUUAUAUUCUAAAAUGACACCAACCAUCCUACAUGUGUGCUCUUAAAUAGCUUAUAUAUUAGAAUAAUGGAAUCUUAGUACUAAAGGCUGGAUGUGGUUGCUCAUGCCUGUAAUCCCAGCACCUUGGGAAGCCGAGGUGGGUGGAUCACUUGAGGUCAGGAGUUCAAGACCAACCUGUUCAAUAUGGUAAAACCCUGUCUCUACUAAAAAUACAAAAAUUAGCCCUGCGUGGUGGUGCAUGCCUGUAGUCGCAGAUACUUAGGAGGCUGAGGCAGGAGAAUUGCUUGAACCUGGGAGGUAGAGGUUGCAGUGAGCUGAGAAGAUUGUACCACUGCACUCCAGCCUGGGCAAAAGAGACUGUCUAAAAAAAAAAAAAAAAAGUAAUCUAGUUAAUAUUUCAAUAUUGAGCAUCAAGAAUUUUUAAAAAUUGGUUGAGUGUUUUCUACAUGCAGAAAGAUACAGCAGAGAGCAUAGACACAAUCCUUGCCCUCCCAAGCGUAUACCCAGCGAGAAAGUGAGAAGCACAGAGUAUGUGUAAGCAUAAAAAUACUAAGUUUUGAGAGUAGACAGCAACUAUGAAAAUAUUCAGUUAUAUCGAUGCAACUCAGUCUUCAUUAAUUGUUCUCAUCGGAGCACAUCUUUUUCACAUUCUGUAAAGUAACGCUCGGUAUGGGCCCAAGGAAUAUUUAAUAAAUAUUUAAAAAUGAAGUUAAUAAUUGUUUUGAAAGCCAUAUGGUUGAUAUUUCUUCUUAAAUGUAACCAAUAGAAACAACAUAAGGAAUUUGGCCUGUGCAUAUAUUUGCACAUUUAUGGUACAGGCAUUUACAUGGAGGUGCCUGUCAUUUGUGACACAGACUUCUCAUCAAGUUUCAGAAGGAACAGAUGUUUCUAGAUGGAAUAAUAUGGAGCUUGCCAUUGUAAGAAUCCUGUAAUAAAUCCUUUCAUAAAAUAAAUAUAUCUGAAUUAUCUCUUGUUAUACAUUUUCACUCCUGGAUCAUCUAAAGUAGAACACAAAGAUUGUUCAUAAACUAUUCAUUCAAAACAACUUUAUAUAAAAAGAAUUACUGUUG
rnacentral:lncRNA from 10 species